AGAGGUAGGCAGAUCUCUGUGAGUUCAAGGCCAGCCUGGUCUACAGAGUGAGUUUCAGGGCAGCCAGGGCUACACAGAGAAAUCCUGUCUCAGGAA
ensembl:miRNA predicted gene, 23368